rnacentral:rRNA from 1 species
GAUGAACGCUGACAGAAUGCUUAACACAUGCAAGUCAUUGGCGAAGCUGCGCUUGCGCAGUCUAGCCAAGGCGGACGGGUGAGCAACGCGUAAGGAACUUGCCCUGCAGACAGGGAUAACAGACGGAAACGACUGAUAACACCUGGUAUUGUCAGGCUGGCGCAUGCCGGCCUGAUGAAAGGAGACGCUGCAGGAGAGCCUUGCGUCCUAUUAGCUAGUUGGUGGGGUAACGGCCCACCAAGGCGAUGAUAGGUAGCCGGCCUGAGAGGGUGAACGGCCACAAGGGGACUGAGAUACGGCCCUUACUCCUACGGGAGGCAGCAGUGGGGAAUAUUGGACAAUGGGGGCAACCCUGAUCCAGCAAUUCUGUGUGCACGAAGAAGGUUUUCGGAUUGUAAAGUGCUUUCAGCAGGGAAGAAGAAAGUGACGGUACCUGCAGAAGAAGCGACGGCUAAAUACGUG